rnacentral:rRNA from 1 species
GAUGAACGCUAGCGGCAGGCCUAACACAUGCAAGUCGAGGGAGAAGCCCUUUCGGGGGCCGAAACCGGCGCACGGGUGCGUAACGCGUAUGCAACCUACCUUUCACCGGGGGAUAGCCCGAAGAAAUUUGGAUUAAUACCCCAUAAUAUUAUUGGAUGGCAUCAUUUGAUAAUUAAAACUGCGGUGGUGAAAGAUGGGCAUGCGUCCUAUUAGCUAGUUGGAGUGGUAACGGCACCCAAGGCUACGAUAGGUAGGGGUCCUGAGAGGGAGAUCCCCCACACUGGUACUGAGACAGGGACCAGACUCCUACAGGAGGCAGCAGUGAGGAAUAUUGGUCAAUGGUCGGAAGACUGAACCAGCCAUGCCGCGUGCAGGAAGAAUGCCUUAUGGGUUGUAAACUGCUUUUAUAUGGGAAGAAUAAGGUGUACGUGUACAUUGAUGACGGUACCAUAUGAAUAAGCAUCGGCUAACUCCGUG